UGAAGAAGAAAACAAGGACAAGGUGAUAAGGAGGGGUUGGCAAAGUCCGAUCCAUUUGGGAGCCACAGAAAAUCAGGACUGAAAAUGUAAAAGGGAGGUCUCUGAUCAUCUCCCUAAUCUGUCCCACCUGCAACCCUCCCCAUCACUUGGCUUGACCCCAUCUCCCAGCAGCUCAAAGCCAAGUAGUUUUCUGGCUUCUGCUUUCUCCGCAUCCCACAUCCACCCUUUGGUACUUCUGCUCAGGUCUACCUUCAAAAUCUCCCCAAGGUCAGGCCACAGCCCAGCACACUGCUUCCACCACUCUGUCGCUGUCAACUCUCAGCUAACUGGGCUCCCUGCUUCCACUGUGCCCUCUCCUGCUCAUCCCGCCCAGGGACCAUCAUGAUCCUUGUAAACCAAACCACCGGUUGGGAACAAAGCUGCAGGUGUCUGGCUCCUCACUUUCCGGAAGAUGGAGAUUCUUUCCUGCUACUCACCACUGUGGCCCCAGCACCUGGUGAAUGCGAGCUGUGGUCCACAGUUGAAGUUCAAAAUAUAUGGGUUGAAUGAUUGAAAGCAGUGGAACAAGAGACUCACAUGCUGCUAGCUGUUCGGCCCAGGGCCACAGGGCUCCACAUGAUCCCCCUGCAACACAAAGCUGG
rnacentral:lncRNA from 1 species